GUGUCAGCCGCCGCGGUAAUACGUAGGGUGCAAGCGUUAAUCGGAAUUACUGGGCGUAAAGCGUGCGCAGGCGGUUGGGCAAGACAGAUGUGAAAUCCCCGGGCUCAACCUGGGAAUGGCAUUUGUGACUGUCCGGCUAGAGUGUGUCAGAGGGGGGUAGAAUUCCACGUGUAGCAGUGAAAUGCGUAGAGAUGUGGAGGAAUACCGAUGGCGAAGGCAGCCCCCUGGGAUAACACUGACGCUCAUGCACGAAAGCGUGGGGAGCAAACAGGAUUAGAUACCCCUGUAGUCC
rnacentral:rRNA from 1 species